rnacentral:rRNA from 1 species
GCAGUCGAGCGAAGCAAUUUAAGUGAAGUUUUCGGAUGGAUCUUAAAUUGACUGAGCGGCGGACGGGUGAGUAACGCGUGGAUAACCUGCCUCACACAGGGGGAUAACAGUUAGAAAUGACUGCUAAUACCGCAUAAGCGCACGGUACCGCAUGGUACAGUGUGAAAAACUCCGGUGGUGUGAGAUGGAUCCGCGUCUGAUUAGGUAGUUGGUGAGGUAACGGCCCACCAAGCCGACGAUCAGUAGCCGACCUGAGAGGGUGACCGGCCACAUUGGGACUGAGACACGGCCCAAACUCCUACGGGAGGCAGCAGUGGGGAAUAUUGCACAAUGGGCGAAAGCCUGAUGCAGCAACGCCGCGUGAGUGAAGAAGUAUCUCGGUAUGUAAAGCUCUAUCAGCAGGGAAGAAAAUGACGGUACCUGACUAAGAAGCCCCGGCUAACUACGUGCCGGCAGCCGCGGUAAUACGUAGGGGGCAAGCGUUAUCCGGAUUUACUGGGUGUAAAGGGAGCGCAGACGGCACUGCAAGUCUGAAGUGAAAGCCCGGGGCUCAACCCCGGGACUGCUUUGGAAACUGUAGAGCUAGAGUGCUGGAGAGGCAAGCGGAAUUCCUAGUGUAGCGGUGAAAUGCGUAGAUAUUAGGAAGAACACCAGUGGCGAAGGCGGCUUGCUGGACAGUAACUGACGUUCAGGCUCGAAAGCGUGNGGAGCAAACAGGANUAGAUACCCUGGUAGUCCACGCUGUAAACGAUGAAUACUAGGUGUUGGUGGGCAAAGCCCAUC